rnacentral:rRNA from 1 species
AGAGUUUGAUCCUGGCUCAGAUUGAACGCUGGCGGCAUGCUUUACACAUGCAAGUCGAACGGUAACAGGGGAGCUUGCUCCCGCUGACGAGUGGCGAACGGGUGAGUAAUGCAUCGGAACGUGCCGAAUAGUGGGGGAUAACGCACCGAAAGGUGUGCUAAUACCGCAUACGCCCUGAGGGGGAAAGUGGGGGACCGCAAGGCCUCACGCUAAUCGAGCGGCCGAUGUCGGAUUAGCUAGUUGGUGGGGUAAAGGCUCACCAAGGCGACGAUCCGUAGCGGGUCUGAGAGGAUGAUCCGCCACACUGGGACUGAGACACGGCCCAGACUCCUACGGGAGGCAGCAGUGGGGAAUUUUGGACAAUGGGGGAAACCCUGAUCCAGCCAUGCCGCGUGUCUGAAGAAGGCCUUCGGG